ensembl:lncRNA
AAAGUGACGGCACAGGAGCAGGAGGUAAACAGCCGAGUCCAGCGGUGGCGUGGCAGUGAGGAGGAGUGCGGUCUGAUGAAGAAAGAACUGGCAGCUCUGCAGCACAGACUGGGGAAUAAGAGUAGACAACUUAAGGUCUGGACAAAUUUCCACUGGCACCACUUUUAAAGCUCUGCCUCUGUGCCUGUGACUCCGGGAAGAGAGGGAGGGGAAAAACUGACAAGCCCCUGGAGGCAAUCGCCUACGGCCUCAGAACCCCGGAUCGGGGCGCCAGCGACAGCAGAGCUCCGAAAAGCAGCUAACUUUCUCGAAUAAAUACUUAAUGAUGGCCAAGCAGGGGAAAAAGUGCGUAUGUGAUGUGACUUCUCCUUAAUUACCUUCUGAUGGGACUGGCAUGAUUAAUUGAUAAAGUGAAGAUCUGGGGAGGAUGCAGGGUCUCUCUUAGCAGAGGGAGGGAAGGAUAGUGAGAGCGAGAGCUCAGCAUCAAAGGCAGGCUGGCAGGACUAAUGGGCCUGUGGAGGAGCUCUUCUCAUUAGAGCUAAAGAUGGCCUUCCUGCGUGGGUUUGGCUUGCCCUGUCAGCGCAGGAAGUGUGGAGGAGGCCAGGCGUGCCCUACAGGAAGCCAGACAACAAUUAGAUGCUCAGCACUCGGCCUCUCAGGCGGAGCUGGAGAGAUUGUGGGACCAAGAGGCCCUCAGCAGUUCCAGAGUCAAGGAUUUGGAAAAGGAGCUGUUCAGAAGCAGACAGGAUGAGCUGGAGACUGCUUUGUCCCUUCAGCUUUCUACCGAAGAACGGGAAGAAGUCUGUCAAAUCAAGUAAGCAGUGUUCGCACAGACCUGGCUGUGUUUGUUUAACCCCGAGCGUACGAGCUGACCGUGAGCAGUGUGUCCGUGUCCAGGCGUGAGCUCCAGGACCUGCAGCGUCUGUACAGGCCCGGCUCCUUCAGCAGCAGGAGGGCCUUAACCUGGACACGCAGAGAGUCCUGCGCAGCCGAGAGGAGGCCCACACGGCACACACCGUCUCCUUCCAGAAGGUACAGGAGCGCAUCUGUUGUGUGAACUCAGCGGCUGUCCUCACAAGCGAACACGGCGCCCCUGGGGGGGGUGAACUCGUGCUCUAGCAAGGACUAAACUGCAUUAACCGAGCUUGUCCUUCACUGUCUGUUUCUGCUGUGACAGCUCCACAGCGAGCUGAGCGUGUCAUACCAAGCCCAGGAAGAGCUCUGCCAGAGAGAUCAGCAGAUCCGAGAGCUCCAGGCACAGCUGCGGAGCUUCACAGCAGCCGUGGGGCACGCGAGGUGAGUCCGUGUGGGGAGCACCGUGACAGAUUUACAUCAUGCUCAAUGCCCUUUGUAUGCAGAGCAAGCUGAAUGAGCACUUCAGCAAAACCACACACCGUUCCCUUGCUUUUCUCCUCUUAGUAUAACCGCAUCCAUAAUAAAUGAAAUGCCUUUCGGUAAGAGAUGACCA